UACCUUGAAUAAAUCAGAGUGCUCAAUACAGGCGCUUGCUUGAAUAGCUCAUCAUGGAAUAAUGAAACAGGACUUCGGUUCUUUUUGUUGGUUCUAGAAUUGAUCUAAUGGUUAAGAGGGACAAACCGGGGGCAUUCGUAUCAUUACGCGAGAGGUGAAAUUCGUGGACCGUAGUGAGACGCCCAAUAGCGAAAGCAUUUGCCAAGAAUGUCUUCAUUAAUCAAGAACGAAAGUCAGAGGUUCGAAGGCGAUUAGAUACCGCCCUAGUUCUGACCGUAAACGAUGCCAUCUCGCGAUUCGGAGGGUUCAUGCCCUACCGAGGAGCUACCCGGAAACGAAAGUCUUUCGGUUCCGGGGGUAGUAUGGUUGCAAAGCUGAAACUUAAAGAAAUUGACGGAAGGGCACCACAAGGCGUGGAGCUUGCGGCUUAAUUUGACUCAACACGGGAAAACUCACCCGGUCCGGACACUAUUAGGACUGACAGAUUGAAAGCUCUUUCUCGAUUUGGUGGUUGGUGGUGCAUGGCCGUUCUUAGUUGGUGGAGUGAUUUGUCUGGUUUAUUCCGAUAACGAGCGAGACUCUAGCCUGCUAAAUAGUCGACGAAUCUUCGGGGUUCGUAUAACUUCUUAGAGGGAUAAGCGGUGUUUAGCCGCACGAGAUUGAACGAUAACAGGUCUGUGAUGCCCUUAGAUGUCCGGGGCUGCACGCGUGCUACACUGGUGGAGUCAGCGGGUUUUUCCUAUGCCGAAAGGUAUCGGUAAACCGUUGAACUUCUUCCAUGUCCGGGAUAGGGUAUUGUAAUUAUUACCCUUAAACGAGGAAUGCCUAGUAAGUGUGAGUCAUCAGCUCACGUUGAUUACGUCCCUGCCCUUUGUACACACCGCCCGUCGCUAUCCGGGACUGAACUGAUUCGAGAAGAGUGGGGACUGUGGCUGCGAGGUUUUACCACUUCGCAGUUGCGGAAACCAUUUUUAUCGCAUUGGUUUGAACCGGGUAAAAGUCGUAACAAGGUAGCUGUAGGUGU
rfam:Caenorhabditis japonica strain DF5081 Contig16071.1, whole genome shotgun sequence.